CCAUAUAUUGAAACACUGGUUCCCAUACAUUCACCAAAGUUAAGCAGCAUUGAGCCCGUUCCGUACCUAGAUGGAUGACCACUUGGGAAAGC